ACCUCUUUGGAGACAUCCAGUAACAUUGAAACAAUAUAGAGAAGAUUAGCAUGGCCCAUCCACAAGGCUGACAUGCAUAAGUCAAGGUCUCCCAUCACAUUUCU